AUUCGGGGCGUUUGGAGAUUGAUUCGAGGGGCAAAGACAUUGCAGGGUUGGAUUUUGCGCGGUGUGAGAUCCAGGUGUGUUUGAUCACGAAGGUCGUUGAGUUCGUGCGCGAUCUAGUACCGAAGACUACGAGGUAGCUACCGACGUUCGCAUACCUUGUCUCUUCUUCUAUAUUUCUUUCUUUCUUUCUGUAUUGAUACUUAGACACUGUUUGUAUUAGACUGGAUAUCUAGAUGCUCAUGACUCAGUGACACCUCGAUGUCGGGCUAUUUUUUCCCGCACUUUUGCUUUGGAUUUUACCUUGUUUUUAUGAAAGACUCCGGUUAUUUUAAAUAUAUUAAUUCAUUUCUGUUAAAUGU